rnacentral:rRNA from 1 species
CCUACGGGUGGCAGCAGUCGAGAAUCAUUCACAAUGGGGGAAACCCUGAUGCUGCGAAGCCGCGUGGAGGAAUGAAGGUCUUCGGAUUGUAAACCCCUGUCAUGUAGGAACAAAGUAAAAAGAUAGUACCACAAGAGGAAGAGACGGCUAACUCUGUGCCAGCAGCCGCGGUAAUACAGAGGUCCCAAGCGUUGUUCGGAAUCAUUGGGCGGGAAGCGUGCGUAGGCGGGUUCGUAAGUCGGGUGUGAAAGGCGAGGGCUCAACCCGCUGACGGCACAUGAUACUGCGAGACUAGAGUAAUGGAGAGGUAAGCGGAAUUCGCGGUGUAGCAGUGAAAUGCGUAGAUAUCGAGAGGAACACUCGUGGCGAAGGCGGGUUCCUGGACAUUCACUGACGUUGAGGCACGAAGGCCAGGGGAGCGAAAGGGAUUAGAUACCCGAGUAGUC